UAGUCCUGAUGCCUCCAGGCCGCCGUAGGUGAAGGUUCACGGAAGCGGCCAGCAGGCGCUCACCUGAGGUUCGCCCAAGCCUGUGGCGGUGGGGCCUGGGACGGAAGAUAUGAGCAGGCCGGGCCCCUGGCCUGUGUUCGUCCAUUUAUUCAUUCCUUGAGGGACGAAUUAAUGUAAUAGCCACUCAUUCGUUCAAGAACUGCUUAUUCACCACCCACCAGUUGCCAGGGAGACGGACAAAAUGCACCAAUCGAAGCAGUAAUGUCCACGUGUGGUACUUGCCCUGGAGCAAGUAAGCAGACAUUUAUAUGUCUCAGAAAGCCAGUUCACUAUGAAUAGCCAAAGAAUCCCACCUGACACUCAAUACCUGGUACUCCAACUAACAUGAUUUGGAAAGGACUGCUAGAGCUGUGGGGAAUUAGUCUGAGUCUUCAGACUCAGAAUUUGGGAUGAAUUGUCUGUGAAUCCUAUAAGGAGCCUGGAGGUGGUGAAGAGAAUGCCAAGUGGCGUUUCCAUAAGCCUUGACCAUCAGGAGACAGCUUACCUUGUUGAAUCUUGAUCCUGUCUUCUGACCACUUUGCGUAGUAAAAGAACAAGCUUUGAAGGAUCAAGGUCAUGAGGAUCAGCCAGAAUAUGGGCUUGUUCCUGCCUCCCAGGUCAGCCUAGUUGGG